GUGGCAGGCAGGCCUGAAAAUUCCCCAGGUGCUGUGCUCCUGCCGUAGGUACCUGGCCUAACUCUCCUAUAGCAGGCACAUAAUAGAAGAUUGUUUCACCAUGACUUGUGCGCUGCCCCAUUGAACUGGAAUAGUCCCCUGCACCACUGGCAACACUUGUGGAAAACUGCUGUAACUGUUGCUCAAUAGCACUUGAGGCAGUUUUAUAUAUUUUUAUAAAUGUUUUCACUUCUGA